UUAAAAUGUCGCGAAAACGUAGAGUAAAUAUAUUUUACGAAUAAUUGCGCRAAGAAUUUUCGUUUAUUAAGAAAGCGAAGACCGAAAGUGAUGUCCUUUGCGAAGUGUGCAACACGGGUUUUAUUAUUAUGCAUAGUGKUCGCCGAGAUAUUGAGUCGCAUAUUAAAUCAAAAAAUCACUAAAAUGCAUUGCACGCUGCCACGUCCAGCCACACACUCAAUAGAUAUUUAAAAAGUUCUACUUUGACCGGAACAGAUGCCCAUAUCGCGGCGUGUGAAGGCGUUUGGGCAUUUCAUGUGAUAAGUUCUAAUCACAGUUUUCGCUCGGCCGWUUGCGCUUCCAAAAUCAUCCGGAGUUGUUUCGCAAUGUCCAAAUUUUCUUGUGCGCGAACGAAAUGUGAAGCCAUAGCACCCGGAGUGUUCGCACGGUUCGUAUUGCAAGAGCUCCAGAAAGACUUAAAUGACUGCCAUUUCUUCACUAUAUUGACGGACGCCUCUAAUCAUGGCAGCACAAAAAUGUUUCCGAUAUUAGUUCGCUUUUUUUCGGAAAAGGAUGGCGUCAAAGUGAWAAAUAUAGACUUGGUAGAUGCACAUGGAGAAAGUUCCGAAAUAAUUGUAAAUUUGCUGAAUAGCGCUAUGAACAAAUUGAACAUAAAUAAGAAACUAKAUGCGUUUUGUGGAGAUAACGCGGCAUGUAAUUUUGGCAACGUUAAUCGAACCGGCACAAAUAAUGCGUUCUACAAACUGAAGCAGCUUUAUCCUGGAUUGAUUGGCGUUGGAUGUGCAGCGCAUAUUGUUCACAAUACUUUAAAAAAAGCUUGCGACAAAAUGCCUUUUGAUAUGGAGAUGAUUGUUGUCAAAAUUUCUUCACAUUUCUAUUUGUUCACCGUGCGUGUCGCAAAAUUGAAAAAAUUUUGUGAAUCCGUGGAUGUGGAAUAUAAAAAACUGAUAGGUUACAGCAAAACUCGUUUCCUAGGCUUGUUGUCAUCAGUCGAAUGUUUAAGUCGAAAUAUUAAGAAUUUUUGAUGGUCUUAAGGAGUAUUUUUUGGGAGAUCCCAACACCCCAAAUUCUUUGCUACUAUUUUUUGAAGAUCCAAGGGCCAAGAUGUGGCUGCUUUUCCUUCGUGAUCGAGCAUCUAUUUUCAACAGAACAGUUAAAGCAGUGGAAAGCGACAAUAUUAAUGCAAUGGAAGUUGGGCWUGCACUCAAUUCUUUUGUCCAAUCGCUCGAAUCUCAGAAAAAAGAAGCAUUUUUGUCCGCUACAGUGCAAAAGGAAAUGGAACAUAUUUCUGUUGUUGACGAAAGAGUGCCAAAGAAGAGAUGUAAGAUCUCUCACGUCAAUUCUAUGAAUCAUGUAUAAAAUAUAUUGGAAAGUGGAAAGAACAAUUUGACCAUAUUAUCAUUUUUGCCUGGUGUGCGCUUGAUCAACCACCGCAAUGGAAGUUUAUCGAAACCACCGCGAAGUACAUCGCAACCAAUAACCAUUUUGAUCUG